rnacentral:rRNA from 1 species
GAUGAACGCUGGCGGCGUGCCUAAUACAUGCAAGUCGAGCGAACGGACGAGAAGCUUGCUUUUCUGAUGUUAGCGGCGGACGGGUGAGUAACACGUGGAUAACCUACCUAUAAGACUGGGAUAACUUCGGGAAACCGGAGCUAAUACCGGAUAAUAUUUUGAACCGCAUGGUUCAAAAGUGAAAGACGGUCUUGCUGUCACUUAUAGAUGGAUCCGCGCUGCAUUAGCUAGUUGGUAAGGUAACGGCUUACCAAGGCAACGAUGCAUAGCCGACCUGAGAGGGUGAUCGGCCACACUGGAACUGAGACACGGUCCAGACUCCUACGGGAGGCAGCAGUAGGGAAUCUUCCGCAAUGGGCGAAAGCCUGACGGAGCAACGCCGCGUGAGUGAUGAAGGUCUUCGGAUCGUAAAACUCUGUUAUUAGGGAAGAACACAUGUGUAAGUAACUGUGCACAUCUUGACGGUACCUAAUCAGAAAGCCACGGCUAAGUACGUG